rnacentral:rRNA from 1 species
UACGAAGGGGGCUAGCGUUGCUCGGAAUGACUGGGCGUAAAGGGCGCGUAGGCGGUGAUCAAAGUCAGGCGUGAAAUUCCUGGGCUUAACCUGGGGGCUGCGUUUGAUACGUGGUUGCUAGAGUGGGGAAGAGGGUCGUGGAAUUCCCAGUGUAGAGGUGAAAUUCGUAGAUAUUGGGAAGAACACCGGUGGCGAAGGCGGCGACCUGGUCCUUGACUGACGCUGAGGCGCGAAAGCGUGGGGAGCAAACAGG